rnacentral:lncRNA from 1 species
ACUUUUAUCUCCAAAGCAUGAUAGAAACGCUAAGACAGAAAACAGAGGAGACACAUUCGUCAUUCAUCAAGCCCAGCUGUCAUGGUUUGACCAGGAAGGAGUGGGAAUUCUGGGAAGCUGUGGUCAAACCAAUGAAGGUUUUGGGUUUGAGACUGGCGUCCGGUGUGGCCAGUGGGGUUUGGACACACCUCCGAGAAUACACAGGGGUUAAAAGCAAGGCACUGCCCUGGCACUUCCUCUUUUGGACAUCGUCGGGCGAAGAGGUCAGAUCCCUUCCCCCGCCCCCGGCCCGCUGCUGCUGGGCGGGGGAGGGGCCGCCAUGCGGGAGGCCUGGGGCCUGGACAGAGGUGGGGGUUGAGGGGGCUUUCAAGGAUGGAAGGGUGGGGGAGCCCCAAGAGACAUCGAGACAAUCGGGCAGCCAGCCCCCCCCCCCAGGAGAGAGAGAGAGAGAGCCGGCGGCACCGAAUGUGAUGGCAGCCAGCCAGGAGGAGAAGGGGGGAGAGAGAGGGAGCCCGGCCGGCCGCAGCAGCAGCGCGUGUGGGAGUAUCGUCGUUCUGAGACAGGCAGAGACUGAAAUUUUUAACCCCUUUCUUUCAUGAUUGGGGCCUUGCAAGAAUGCUGAUCCUCCUCGGAGCUGACUAAGAAGGGAGAUAAGAGAUAAGAUGAAACAAGGACCUGGCCCGAAGGAUGUAGAGAAGACUGGCUGAGUGAAGAGAGAGAUGCUUGGAGUGGCCUUUUGGCUGGACUCUUCUUGUGGCCAUGGACUCAGUUUGUUCCUGUGACACAGAGACUGCGCUUAGGGGGAGGCAGUGCCUCAGAACCAGGAGGGUUCAUCGUGGGGACCCCUCGGCCCCAGGGGGUUGGAAAAAUAUGGGGGGGACAGAUGUCCCAAAGCAGAGACUGUGCCUUUUUGGAGGGAGAAAAGGCAUCCUUAAAAGACAACCCUAAAAGCAGCUCUGGUCCAUGCACGGUGGUGAGAGCACUGGGCAUGGAAGGAAGAUGUCACAAGCGGCAAAAGGACUUUUCCGGGCGGUGCCGAGUGACAUUGGAAGCACACGAGGUUUCAGCGUGUUUCCAGGGGAAGCCUAUGGAACAAGAAGGACUCCUCUCCUCUUCAUGAACUGAAGUUUGAGUAUUAUAAAGGGUGGUGCCAGGCUGGCAGGCUGGGCAGUUGGUGAUUUGGGAGAAUGUAUCGGAUUGGGAAAUUCAGAUAGUGGGGAGGAGGAAAGUGGGUUUUUUUGUAAGGUUUUCAAUUUUUUUUUUUUCCUUUUCCUUAUAGUUUUUCCCUAUUUUCCUGUAGUUAGGUAAUAAAGUGUUCUUUAUGUUUAAGCUGGAGCCUGUU